rnacentral:rRNA from 1 species
AUUGAACGCUGGCGGCAGGCCUAACACAUGCAAGUCGAGCGAGCGGCGGACGGGUGAGUAAUGUCUGGGAAACUGCCUGAUGGAGGGGGAUAACUCCUGGAAACGGUAGCUAAUACCGCAUACCAUCAGAGGUGCCCAGAUGGGAUUAGCUAGUAGGUGGGGUAACGGCUCACCUAGGCGACGAUCCCGAGCUGGUCUGCGAGGAUGACCAGCCACACUGGAACGGAGACACGGUCCAGACUCCGACGGGAGGAAGCAGUGGGGAAUAAGGCACAAUGGGCGCAAGCCUGAGGCAGCCAUGCCGCGUGUGUGAAGAAGGCCUUCGGGUUGUAAAGCACUUUCAGCGGGGAGGCGUUACCCGCAGAAGAAGCACCGGCUAACUCCGUGCCAGCAGCCGCGGUAAUAC